CCAUCUGUUGGUAAAUGUUAAUUACUGCAACUCCAGUGUUUUACCGGUGUGCUUGGGAUACCCGGAUGUAUUGCAAUAUACUGAACAGACUGGUUACUCGCAUCAAUGCCUCUGUCUCGUCAUUUAACAUUCAAACAUGGUGUCAGAGUCGGAUAACUAACCAUGCUUUCCGCAAAUUAGAGUCACCUGUUCUGGUUUACCCCCCCAAAAAUGCUUAUUUGAGUAAAACUUCGCCGGAAUUGUCCUUAGCUAGAGUGAGUUGCUAGUUAGCUUCAGUGUUGUUAGCACCGGUUAGACAUGGCAGCGAACAUUCUCCCUCCCGCCGUUAUGAAGUUCAGCGGUGAUUGGAGCACAAACUGGGAUACGUUUAGAGGUGAAUGGGAGGACUAUGCACUAGCAACAGGACUUUCGGGAAAAGGACGAUGAGGUAGUGGCUGCCAUUUUGAGGACUAUAAUGGGAACUGAAUGCCAACACGUAUACAAACACAACCUGAACCUAACAGCAGUUCAGCAAGGAGGACGGGGAGUCCAUUGACAGCUUUGUCACUAGGCUAAGGGAAAAGGCAGUUACAUGUGACUAUGGCGCUUUAAGGGAUGAACUGAUCAGAGAUAAGAUGGUGCUUGGCAUAACUGAUGAGGGCACCAGCAGACGUUUGCUGAGAGAACGUGACCUGACACUGGUCUUGGCAGUGGAGACAUGCCGUGCAGCAGAGCUUACUGAUAUAUGGAUAAGGUCCAUGGAGUUAGAAUGGCAAAAUAUGGACAAUGUCAAUGCUACAUUCAGGCAGCCAGUAAAGAAAUUCCCCUUUGCCACAGCUAAUGCUAAUACUACAGCCAACUCUGCAGUAGACAACAUGCCGAUAGUGGCAUUUCUCAUGGACGGGGAAAAGAACACUGCCAGCCUAUGGAAAAAUAUGCAAAUCCUGUGGUACAGCUAAUCACUUCGCAAGGGUCUGCAUGAAAAGAAAGAAAGGAGGGUAAAGUGCACUCCAUUGAAACAAACACAGAUGAAGGGAACAACAGCACAGAGGAUGUAUAUGCUAGCAAGUGUAUAGUGGCAGUAAGGGCAAAAGGACAAAAGUGGUUUGUCACUCUGCUACUUAAUAAUAAACCACAGCAAUGCCAGCUAGAUUCAGGGGCCACAUGUAACGUUAUGAGCCUUAAAGAUAAAAGGAGGCUCGCGCCCAGAGACAAACUCACACAGAGUAGCACCAAACUGAAACUGUAUUCAGGCCAGUUCAUGACCUCUUUAGGCCUGUUAGUGACAGUGUGUUUUAUGUGGCCAGAAACACACUCUUGAGUUUGAAAUAGUUGAGGCUAGUCAACAGCCAUUACUGUCAGGUUCUACAUGCGAGCGCCUUGGGCUUAUUAACUUCACCAUCCCAGCUGAUCUUAACAUUAUAGACAAAGUCCAGGCUGGGCCCCUAAGCAAGGAGACACUCCUAAGCAAGUAUCAUGAUGUCUUAAACACACCGGUCGAGUCAGUUCCCGGCGAAGUCCACUUUGAGUUGGACGCAGCAAUCCAGCCUAUCCAGUGUGCACCCCGCAAUGUACCAGUGGCCAUGAAAGCAGCUACGAAGGCUCAGCUUGACAAAUACGAAGCAGAUGGCCACAUCAUAUCCGUCACCGAGCCUACAGACUGGAUAAGUAAUAUGGUUGUCGUCAAGAAACCAGACAAGCUACGGAUAUGCAUUGAUCCUAAACACCUCAACCAGGCUCUGAGACGUUCACAUUACAUUAUGCCCACGUUGGAGGAUGUUCUUUACAAGCUCCCCAAGCCCAGAGUCUUCACGGUCGUGGACGCCAGAGAUGCCUUCCUGCAGUGCAAGCUCGACGAGCCCAGCAGCUACAUGACCACCUUUUGGAUACCCUGGGGCAGGAAGAGGUGGUUGAAGCUCCCCUUUGGUGGCUCCAGAGGUGUAUCAGCGGAAACAGCACGAGCUGUUGAUGGGACUCAGUGGCGUGGAACCCAUAGCAGAUGACAUCCUCGUAGUGGGCUGUGGAGACAGUGAUGAGGAGGCAGAAUGUGACCAUGGCGCCAAGCUGCUGGCCCUGAUGGUCAGAUGCAGACAGGUCAAGCUAAGGCUAAGCAUAAAAAAGCUUCAGUUUAAAGUGCCAGAGGUUAGCUUUCAUGGGCACAUCUUGUCCUCCACCGGAUUGAAGGCGGAUCCAGAAAAAGUAAAGGCUGUCUUGAAAAUGCCCCACCCAUCUGACGUGAAGGCAGUGUAGCGCAUCGUCGGAUUCGUCACCUACCUGGUCAAGUUCCUACCGUGGCUCUCUGAAGUGUGUGAGCCACUAAGGAGGCUCAUGGACAAGGACACCAUCUAGCAUUGGCUCCCAAAACAUGACGCAGCGGUGAGAGAAAUAAAACAACUGGUCACCCAGACACCUAUACUGCAAUACUACGAUGUGUCAAAACCUGUCACGAUUCAGAGUGACUCAAGCCAGUAUGGACUGGGCUGUUGCCUCAUGCAGUAGGGCCAGCCUGUGGCAUUCGCCUCUAGGGCACUCACUCCAACAGAGCAGAACUAUGCCCAGAUAGAGAAGGAGUGCCUCAGCAUUGUGUUUGCAUGCCAACUCUUCCACCACUACAUGUAUGGGUGCGACAAUUACCGCAGAGGCAGAUCACAAGCCCCUUAUUGCUAUAUUCAGCAAGCCUCUCCUGAAUGCCCCGAAACGACUGCAGAGCAUGCUACUGGCCCUACAAAACUACAACCUCAAGGUGGUGUAUAAGCCAGGGCCAGAGAUGUAUGUGAGUGACACGCUCAGCAGGGCUACUGCAUCAGGCACUCACACACGCUCCAUGCAACAACACACAGUGUGCAGCUUACAAACAGAGCAAGUGGAUGUUGAACACAUCAACCAGGCUGACUACCUCAAUGUUACGGACCAGCGCCUUAUACAAAUCAGACAGCACACAGACAGGAACGAGCAACUCCAGUCAUUGAGGUCUGUGAUUCUGAUGGGAUGGCCCGACUGCAAGGAAGAAACUGCUUUAGCCAUCAGAGAUUAUUGGCCAGUCAAAGAGGAGCUCAGUGUUCAAAACGGAGUAAUAUUCAAGGGUCAGAGAGUCGUUAUUCCCCGCUCUCUGCGCCCUGAGAUGUUGGCGCGCGUGCACUCAAGUCACAUAGGAGGUGAGGCCUGUUACAGACAAGCAUGUGACACACUGUAUUGGCCAGGAAUGCAGAGUGAAAUCAAAGACUGUCAGUAAAUGCACAAUCUGCAAUGAAUAUACCAUUGAGCAACAGAGAGAGACGAUGAUGUCCCACGAGCUACCAAUGCGCCCCUGGUAGACAUUAAGUCUAGAUCUCUUCCAGCACAGUGGCAAAGACUUUCUGCUGGUAGUCGAUCAUUACUCAGACUUCUGGGAGAUUGACCUCCUCCCCGACCUCUCAGCAGAGACAACGAUCAAAGGCUGCAAGGCUCAGUUUGCCCGCUAUGGCCAGCCAGAUAGGGUAAUUUCAGAUAAUGGACGCCAAUUCUCCGGAUUUGAGUUCCGAAAAUUUGCUGCAGAAUGGGAAUUUGAGCACGCCACUUCAUCACCACGACACCCAAAAACUAAUGGGAAGGCUGAGUCGGCAGUCAAAACCGCAAAGAACCUCUGCAAAAAAGCUCUGCGAGAGGGCAAAGAUGCCUGGAAAGCAAUCCUGCAGUGGCGCAAUACCCUGACAGAAGGCAUGGAUUGCAGCCCGGCCCAGCGCCUCAUGGCACGGCGUUUAAAAGCAGCUCUACCAGUAGCAAGCACUCUCCUGGAGCCAUGUGUGGUGACAGACGUGCUGGUGAAGCUACGUCACAGAAGACGGGUCUCCAAGUUAAUCUACGACAAAUCAGCAAAAGACUUACCUGAGCUCAGGGUGGGUGAAACGGUGCGAAUGAAGCCACUACCAGGGGACCGGACAGGCCUCUGGAGACUCGGAUCCUGUGUACAAAAAGUGGCACCACGCUCCUACUUGGUCGACGUGAAUGGAUCACUCUACCGUCGUAACAGGGUUGACCUUCAGAUUGCUGAGCCAGUACCUACUCAGAAUCCUGAUGGUCAUAAAGACCAUCAUGACAAAAGACGGAACCCCAGCAAGUCACAUGGGGCCUGAGGCACUGGGCGAAGAGCCGGGGGAUCACAGGUCGGCCGCUCCCUCGCCCAUCAAUACUCCCCUUAGACAGUCAGGUGACACGCCUGUGCGGGAACCGCAGUCCACGCAGACAAGUCCCCUGUCUUUUCACGUUGCGGGCGUCUGUCCCAGCCACCAAAAAUACUUAAUCUGUAGGUUUCCCAUUAGGGAUUGUUAACAGACAGAGAUAAAAGUGAAGAGUAUCAAAAUGUGUUAAGUUGUUAACUGAAAAAAUAAAAAACUGUUCAUGUUGGAAAUUA